GAUGAACGCUGGCGGCGUGCCUAACACAUGCAAGUCGAACGGAACUAUUUUGGAAACUCCUUCGGGAGCGGAAUCUUUAGUUUAGUGGCGGACGGGUGAGUAACGCGUGAGCAAUCUGCCUUUAAGAGGGGGAUAACAGUCGGAAACGGCUGCUAAUACCGCAUAAAGCAUUAAAUUCGCAUGUUUUUGAUGCCAAAGGAGCAAUCCGCUUUUAGAUGAGCUCGCGUCUGAUUAGCUGGUUGGCGGGGUAACGGCCCACCAAGGCGACGAUCAGUAGCCGGACUGAGAGGUUGAACGGCCACAUUGGGACUGAGACACGGCCCAGACUCCUACGGGAGGCAGCAGUGGGGAAUAUUGCGCAAUGGGGGAAACCCUGACGCAGCAACGCCGCGUGAUUGAAGAAGGCCUUCGGGUUGUAAAGAUCUUUAAUCAGGGACGAAACAAAUGACGGUAC
rnacentral:rRNA from 1 species